rnacentral:rRNA from 1 species
AGCAGCGCGGUAUUCCAGCUCCAUAGCGUAUAUUAAAGUUGUUGCAGGUUAAAAAGCUCGUAGUUGAAUUUCGGGGUUUAUCCGUUGGUCGGGCUUUUGGGUCUGUACUGGCGUGAUGGAUUCCUACCUUCUGAAUAACCAGCAUGUCAUUAAUUUGGUGCGUUGGGGAAGCAGGACUGUUACCUUGAAAAAAUUAGAGUGCUUAAAGCAGGCUAUUGCCUGAAUACAUUAGCAUGGAAUAAUGAAAUAGGACGCAUGGUUCUAUUUUGUUGGUUUCUAGGAUCACCGUAAUGAUUAAUAGGGAUAGUUGGGGGCAUUAGUAUUCAAUUGUCAGAGGUGAAAUUCUUGGAUUUAUUGAAGACUAACUUCUGCGAAAGCAUUUGCCAAGGAUGUUUUCAUUAAUCAAGAACGAAAGUUAGGGGAUCGAAGACGAUCAGAUACCGUCGUAGU